ensembl:lncRNA
CUAUUUUUUUGAACAAGUGGGCGGUGUGAGUUUAUACUUCCUUUGCCUUACCACUAGAAACUGUUUAUCAUGUAAACAGGCCUUGUUUUUUAAAAGCCAAUUUUUUAAAAACAAAGAGGUAUUCGCAUUCCUCAGAAACGUUUGAGGAUGUCAUAAUAUAUGAAAAAGGUCUGUGUAAACCAUAAAAACAUGCAAGCCAGCAUCAGUAGACAUGACUGUGCAUGCUCUGAAGGAUGCAAUUAAAGGGACAGGUCACUCAAAAAUGACACUGAGUCAUUCUCAUGGUUUCCAAACCUGAAUGACUUCAGAGACUUCAAAAAGAGACUUCAGGUAGAAUAUUAUCGACUGACAGUCAGCAUUCACUUCCAUUGUAUCUUAUGCCAUUCAAUGAAAGAUGAAUGGAGACUGGGACUCAUCUCAUUUCGUGUUUCACAGCAAAAAGAAACUCAUACAGGUUUCGAACAACAUGAAGACGAGUCAAUAAUGACGACGUUCUAAUUUUUGUGCCAUCCUUCUGAAAUACACACGCGCGCGAGCGCCCAGGUGCUUCAUUUCAGGAUCACAGGCAGGGGAACCGAAACGGUCAGCAGUGCUUCCAGGAAGCGUCACCGGGGAGCACGCGCGCCGACAGACAGAGGAAUGCAGCAGCGUCCGCGACUCUCCGUCAGGCAGCCGCGAAACUAGAAGGUUCGCAGGCAGCGUGCGUGGCUCGGAGUGCGCGACGGGGUUUUUAUUUUACCGCUGUCGGCGCGAGCUGCUGCUGACGCGAUGCUUUAGCCAUGGACAGCAGGUUAAACGAGAAUCCUGCGAGAACCUUUGAUUUGGCUCUUCAGGUUGCAUGUCCAUCAUCUGAACAUGAAGACAUCUGCCUCUGUAUUUCAAGUUUCUUGACUGCUCUCACAUGUGAAUCUCUCUACCGACUGACACAUUUCUUCCGCUUGAUGUUCUAUACUGCCCACCCCUAGUUGAAAUGUCUGUCAGAUCCGACAGUGCUGUGGAAGUUCCCUCAGGACUUUGGAGACCAGGUUGGAGACAGAGGAACUUUUUUUUUCUCUCCAUCCCCCCCACCCACAAGCACCACAUCCACGACCCCUCCUGCUCCUAAAGGCUUCCCUCCUUCCCCUCUCCCUUCAUUUUCUCUGUCUCUCUCUCUGCCAUGCAGUGUGAUGUUGCUGAUAAUGAAAUGCAGUGAGCAGGUCUUCAAUAAGCGUUGUUCUGGUAAUUAUCAGCUGGCUGUGAUGUGAAUGGGUGCGGAUGGAGCUUCAUCGUACACCCACUGCUGUACCUCACACCAGUACAGCUGUGUGUCGCUCAUGAGCUGGUACUAUAUCACACUAGUAAUGCAUAAUAGAGAGUAAUAUACCAGCCUAAACAGUCAAUAUUUGGCUGUUUUGAGAUGAUCACUUCACAUUCUACCUUGUGUCUACACCAAAAUGUAGUUUUUAAAUGUUUUUUUUUUUUUAGAUAUUAAUUAAAAAAAAAAUUAUUUAGAAUUUUUUUUAAAAAUAAUUUAGUGAUAUUAAUAUUUUGUCUAAAGGUAUUUUUUUAUUUUAUUUUAAAAUAAAUGUAUUAAAAAUCGAACA